rnacentral:lncRNA from 1 species
GCGGCCUCUGGUGGCGUGCCGUGAUCGUAUAGUGGUUAGUACUCUGCGUUGUGGCCGCAGCAACCUCGGUUCGAAUCCGAGUCACGGCAGUACCUUGAUGUCGCCUCAAUUUCUCAACGUACUGAGCAGUACCUUGACGUCGCCUCAAUUUUUCAACAUACUGGAGUGGAGACAGUCUCGGAAAAACCCUUGCAAAAUUGAAUUGACUUACGAUCUAAUCUGUACACAAAAAACACUAGUAUUCAUCAUGGUGCCCCAACCAGUCAGCCAAGCAGAGAGUGUCUACGCUUGUUGCCUUGUCUUUUUUUUCCCCUCUCCAAAGAUUCUCUUCCCAACCCUACCCAAG